GAUGAACGCUGGCGGCGUGCCUAAUACAUGCAAGUCGAGCGAACAGACGAGGAGCUUGCUCCUUUGACGUUAGCGGCGGACGGGUGAGUAACACGUGGACAACCUACUUAUAAGACUGGGAUAACUUCGUGAAACCGGAGCUAAUACCGGAUAAUAUAUUGAACCGCAUGGUUCAAUAGUGAAUGACGGUUUUGCUGUCACUUAUAGAUGGUUCCGCGCCGCAUUAGCUAGUUGGUAAGGUAACGGCUUACCAAGGCGACGAUGCGUAGCCGACCUGAGAGGGUGAUCGGCCACACUGGAACUGAGACACGGUCCAGACUCCUACGGGAGGCAGCAGUAGGGAAUCUUCCGCAAUGGGCGAAAGCCUGACGGAGCAACGCCGCGUGAGUGAUGAAGGUCUUCGGAUCGUAAAACUCUGUUAUUAGGGAAGAACAAAUGUGUAAGUAACUAUGCACGUCUUGACGGUACCUAAUCAGAAAGCCACGGCUAACUACGUG
rnacentral:rRNA from 1 species